AUUGAACGCUGGCGGCAGGCCUAACACAUGCAAGUCGAACGAGUGGCGGACGGGUGAGUAAUGUCUGGGAAACUGCCCGAUGGAGGGGGAUAACUACUGGAAACGGUAGCUAAUACCGCAUACCAUCGGAUGUGCCCAGAUGGGAUUAGCUAGUAGGUGGGGUAACGGCUCACCUCAGCGACGCUCCCUAGCGGGUCUGAGAGGAUGACAAGCUAAACUGUAACUGAGACCCGGUCCAGAUGCCUACGGCAGGAAGCAGUGGGGAAUAUAGCACAAUGGGCGCAAGCCUGAUGCUGCCAUGCCGCGUGUAUGAAGAAGGCCUUAGGGGUGUAAAGUACUUUCAGCGUGGAGGCGUUACUCGCAGAAGAAGCACCGGCUAACUCCGUGCCAGCCGCCGAGGUAAUAC
rnacentral:rRNA from 1 species